AAACAGGAAGCGGAAGAAAGUGCAAGAGGAAAGGGCCAUGCAGGGAAGAGGCUCUGUGUGUUACCAUAAUUAACACGUUGCAAUGCCAGACUGCUAGCAGCCGCCUGGCUCCGUAAUUUAUCCUUCCACCGAGCCAUUAACGUGACCCUGCGGGCUGCUAUUGCAACCGCGUGUGUACACGCACGUGUCCACCCACGCUGCCCGCUCUGCGCAGAGGAGGGCUCGACUUUCAGCCCCGGCAUCCUGAAAGGACCGAUGACCUCGGCUUGCUCCCAGCCUCCAGGGAUGACCCAGCUCGCUGUGGUCCAUGCAGGCAGGACUCGGCGGUGCCGGAGCCUACAGGAAGGGAUGGGGCACCAACACCGUCCCCUGAUGGCACGGACCAAGGCUAAGAGCAGGGUCAGCCCCAGCCCAUGUGACCCAGGCACUGGGGAGAAGGAGGACGAAGCCAGAUUCACAGAGGACUGAACAGGUAUGAAACGAGCCCCCCAGUCACUGCCAGCCCUGCUCCAUCUCCCGCCUGGCCGUGGAUACCCCCACCACCCCGCGUGGCCGGCGUAGUCCCUCCUUGGCAGAGCCAUCUCUUGCUUUCUCCCUGCUCCGCGUAAGGAGCCUUGGGGAGGAAAAUCCCCUUUUCCAGCAGCGGUGGCCCCGCGGGCGGUUGCCUCGCUGGGUGGAUGGGAGCCGCCGUAUGAAAGGGCUGGUGACAGGAGCUGAGCGGGGAGGGCACGGGACGGGAGCCAGGCUCCUCUCCCCAGCAGUGGUUCACAUAUCUUGGGUCCUGCUCUGUCCUCAAAGCACAGGAGGACCGGGGGGCAGGAGGGAGGGGAGGGCCCUUCGGCCAAAGCCGCUUGUCUUCAUGCGGAUGAUCGUUUCCAGCUGAGCCACCAGGAUGGGUUUUAUCGGCUACUUUUAUCCUCCAAGUGAGCUCCACAAACCCCAGGACCUCCACCGAUCUCUCUAGACUCCGUUGCAGCAGCUCGGAGGGGGUCCAAACCGCAGGCAGAG
rnacentral:lncRNA from 1 species